rnacentral:rRNA from 1 species
GUCCUGGCUGUAAACGAUGAGUACUAGGUGUCGGGGCUUCGACCCCUCGGCGCCGCCGCUAACGCAUUAAGUACUCCGCCUGGGGACUACGGCCGCAAGGUUAAAACUCAAAGGAAUUGACGGGGCCCGCACAAAGCAGUGGAGCAUGUGGUUUAAUUCGAUGCUACGCGAAAAACCUUACCAGGACUUGACUUCCCGGUGUAAGCCCCUAGAGAUAGGGGCCCCCUUCGGGCAUCGGAGACAGGUGGUGCAUGGCUGUCGU